AGCUGGUUCACUGCUCUCCAAUAUCCCCGUCCAUUCAUUCCUUGCUCCUCUCCUCCUUGGUAUAACCUGGCAUCAACAUUUUUCUUUUGGCGCAAGGAAGAUUUGUGUGCCGGCAAAUUCAGAUACUGCAGUGCAGGCUACUACUACUAUACGGUGAUCUAUAUAUAGCUGCUAGCAAAUUGAUUCAUCUGGAGGUGCAGAUCGAUCGAUGGGUUAGAUUUGUGGAGCUUCGUGUCUCUGCCGGGCGUCCAUUGAAAUACUAGUCAUCAUGCCUCGACAGGUGCUGACUAGCUAGCCAAGUAAAAGUAAUUCAUCUGGAGUUGCAGACCGAUUGGUCAGAUUGAUCCCUGGGCUUUCUUGUCUUUAAUAGGCCUUCACUGAAAUAUUAGCCAUCAUGCCUCGGCAGGUGUUGUUUUGCUGGAAGGGUUCAAGAAACGGCGCUUGAUCAAACCAUUCUUGAUAGACUUGUGUUACCAAGGGAUUCUGAUGUGGAUGUCGACGACAGUAGUAGUGAUUCCGAGCUGUUUACGCGGCACAACAAAGAUGAGCCAAAGCCAAAUAGUGUCAUUUUCCCAAAGCAAAGCAUACAUACAUUGCAUUUUGUUCAGAUUAAAUACAUAUAUUGCUGGAUU